ACUUUAUUCAGAUCGGAGAAGAACAUUAUUUUUAUUGAAUCAACAGGUUUUGAAUCUAGGUUCUGGAGGAGUAUGAGGAGGAUGUGGUGGUAGAGGUGGUGGUAUUGGAGCAGGUUUGAAAGAGGAUUUUGAAGUCAGUGGUGGUGUUUUUCAGAAUUGAUGAAUUGAAGGAGAUGAUGAGAAGAUAAAGGAUGAACUAUUUUAAGUUUCUACUACUGGUGCUAGUGGUGACAUGUAAUUAGUUGAUUUCACAAGUUACUAAGAAGGCUGACCCAAG